GGCAUAGUGUGGAGAACCUCACCCCAUUCAUAAUGCUGGGGUCCUUGGUUCAAGUCCAGGUGUAGCCACCA
rnacentral:tRNA from 1 species